UAAAAUGACCUGUGUGGAGCAUACCCUAUUUCUGUGAGGUAGCACUGGUGAGGGGAACUAGUCUCUGGGGAGCUCCGUGUCCCUGAAACCUUCCCUGAGGAAGUUGUCUUUGAACAGAUACCUGGCUGAGUAGGUGUUACACAGGGCCUGGUUUCUAUGUAUUUGAUUACUUCAGAUACCUCAUAACAAACCUUGAUUUUAGUCAAAUACAUCAGUGCCGGUUAAAGGAAACCAUACCUGAAGUGGAAGUCUAACGUAUGAGGAUACAGAAACUGCUUUGGUUGAUUCAGAAUGGGAACCACAAGUGAUGAGAUGGUGUCUGUGGAGCAGACCUCCUCCUCCUCCUUCAAUCCUCUGUGUUUUGAAUGUGGCCAGCAGCACUGGACAAGAGAGAACCACUUAUACAAUUACCAGAAUGAAGUAGAUGACGACCUGGUCUGCCAUAUUUGCCUUCAGCCUCUGUUGCAGCCACUAGACACCCCCUGUGGACACACGUUCUGCUGCAAGUGCCUCAGAAACUUCUUACAGGAGAAGGACUUUUGUCCAUUGGACCGGAAGAGACUCCACUUUAAGUUGUGUAAGAAGUCUAGUAUUCUAGUUCAUAAGCUUCUGGACAAAUUAUUAGUGUUAUGUCCAUUUUCUUCAGUGUGCCAAGAUGUCAUGCAACGCUGUGAUCUGGAAGCACAUCUUAA